AGAGUUUGAUCAUGGCUCAGAGUGAACGCUGGCGGCAGGCCUAAUACAUGCAAGUCGAACGGCAGCACGGCAGAGCUUGCUCUGUGGGUGGCGAGUGGCGGACGGGUGAGGAAUACAUGGGAAUCUGCCCAGUCGUGGGGGAUAACGUAGGGAAACUUACGCUAAUACCGCAUGCGCCCUUCGGGGGAAAGCCGGGGACCGUAAGGCCUGGCGCGAUUGGAUGAGCCCAUGUCGGAUUAGCUAGUUGGCGGGGUAAAGGCCCACCAAGGCGACGAUCCGUAGCUGGUCUGAGAGGAUGAUCAGCCACACUGGAACUGAGACACGGUCCAGACUCCUACGGGAGGCAGCAGUAGGGAAUAUUGGACAAUGGGCCCAAGCCUGAUCCAGCCAUGCCGCGUGAGUGAAGAAGGCCCUCGGGUUGUAAAGCUCUUUUGUCCGGAAAGAAAAGCGCCGGGUUAAUACCCUGGUGUCCUGACGGUACCGGAAGAAUAAGCACCGGCUAACUUCGUG
rnacentral:rRNA from 1 species